rnacentral:ncRNA from 1 species
AAAAUAGAAGCUAUGAUGUAUAUUCUGUAUAUGGGCACUUGGAAUGUAUUGAGUUAUUAGUGCAACCGGCUAUAA